rnacentral:lncRNA from 1 species
UUGACCAGCUUUGCUUUGGAAGGCCAAGUCUCACGGGGAUGUCCACUCAUUCAUCGUGAUGGCACCAGUGACGACUCUCGAACUUAGGAGCAGAAAAAGAAGGAAUGGCCAUGUGACUUAUGUCCAUGGAAAACCUGUUCUUGAGCGUUUUUCCAGACUGUGAUUGGCUGUGGAUAACAAACUGCGGAAUGCGAAACUGUUGAUAAGGGUGGACUACUGUAACUCUGGACAAUUUCCUCAACUCUGCCCAAUAUCAAAGGAAGGCUCUUGCUCCAAGCAUUGUCAGUGAUGUGCUACAAAGAGGAACAACUAAGCUGACACAGAUAUGAAGGCAGCAAUGACACUGAACUGCCAGAAUAGUGAUCCUCAAAGGUGGACAGGUGUCACACCUGAAUCCCUGGGGGUCAGGACCAAUCAACUUCCCCGCCUACCCCAACCGUGGCCACUCUUUCUAGUCAUAGUUUAUCUUAUGCCUCAGGGGCAGUAAUGGGGUUAAGAAAUGGUAGAAAGUAUGUACCCAAAUUCUCAAUCACAUUUGAUUGUUCACUAGAACUUUUUCUAAGAAGACUAAAUGGUGAGAACGGGGGGAUGGCCCUCCAGGAAAAUUCAGGUAGGUGUCAUAAUAUUUAAUGAAAGAGGCAUUUCCUUUUUUAAUCCUUUGUAGGGUCAGAAAAGAAAAAAAUUCAAGAUAUGCAAAGGAAGCCAGAUCAAAAUCCCCUUGGCCAUGGAUACUGGUGCCCUACAUCAGCACCCUUCAAGAGUGUGGAUGAGGCUGAGUAGGUGGGAACCUGCAUCCCUUGAAAGAAGCAGGCAAGGACAGGGUAGUGACAAGUGCUGGUCACUUGUGAGGGCUGCCUCCCCAUCCAGUUCCCUCUGCAGCCAGGAGCAGGAGUUGUUUCUGGCUCAAGCCAGCCCCCAUGGCCGCCAUUCCCUUAUAUGACCCUGCUUCGCAGGGUAACGUACCAGACAGUUUCACGCUCGUUAUCCUUGCAACGGAUUACUCGGUGAGGAGCAUCAGAGAACUGAAAAGACAGACUGACUUCGACUUGAAUCCUGGCUCUUCCUCUUACUAGUUUCAUGGCCUUGGAUGGAAAAAUGAGUUAUUCCACUGAAGCCAGGAAAAUCCAUGCUGGCACCCUAGCAGUCCAUCAGAAAGUCGUUAUUUCUCCACUGUCAGAGAUCCUGUCCUGAAUAUGCAGCCUAGCACAGCAUGUUAUGGAGGUAAUACCCAUGUCCUUUGCCCAAGGCGCUUGCUCUUACUUGUCCUCGUGGGCACAGUGGAAUUCUAAAUCAUCGAUGCAUACUGCCUGUUUUGUUAGGUCCCUUUAAGUUCAUAUUCAGCUGACCUGGCAAGAGAUAUGCAGUAAACUUUGCUCAAAAACGUUAGGACCGGAGAUAUAGCAAACUUCAGCAAAGAUGGAAAGAACCAUCCUGCCAACAUACCGAUUUUAAGAACAGCACUCUCUCACCAAAUUCAAUUAUCUUGUUACUCAAAAAUAUUUUUUACAUGUGAUUUCAUUGUGUCCCUUUGAGAACAGGGAGAACAAGUAGCUUAUCUAGGAUGGCAUUGGUCCAGGCCUCUUAUUCACAAAAUAUGUCAAAUUUAGACUUUCACCUUAACUUCAAACGAGGUUAUGCAUAUGGUCACUGAGAUUCAGGAUAAAUGUGAAAAGGACUUUUUUCUCAUGCAACUAUACAAUUACCCCAUUAUAAAACUGCACAGCCUGAAUUAAUUUUUACAAGUCAUCAC